ensembl:lncRNA
GGGGCUUGGAACCCUCAUGGCAGCCUGGGGGUGAAGGGAUGGAGCUGGGGUGGGCGUGGAGCCCAGGGCUCCCAGCAAGUGAGAUGGGGACAGGUCAUUGCAGGAGCACACGUGUCUCUGGGCACAGUUCUGUGGGCACUGACCCACAUUUCUGCUUCAGUGGAAAUGCAUUAGCCCAGGAGCAAACAGUGAAGGAAGAAAUGGAGCAAAAUAUGUUUCUGCACUUGCAAUAUAUAGGGCUGUUGCUCAAGAAUCUGUGGUUUGUGAACAUCAUUUAAUGUAAUGGGAGAUGAGGUUCAAGUCCUAGGACAAGCAAACCAUGAAUAAUGUCCUACUGCCCUACCACGAUGCUUCCUUUGCAUUAACAAAUAUCAGGUAGGGGUCAGAGUAUUUAUGCCCACGUCAGCUGUGCAGUUACAAGGACAGGCAGGAGGCACAGAAACGGGGCUGCCCAUAGCUGCAGCACGGCGGAGCCCGACAGCCCAUCGCACUAUAAAUAGUGCAGGACAGGAAUAGGAGAGAGCUGCCAGACCUGGCUAAUCGGGAUGAGGGGCAGCCACCUGACACCCGGCCUCCGAGGGACUUAAAGCCACAGCCGUGUGCUGCAGAGCAGGGCUUCCCCAGCACCUUCAUCCUGAACGGAAGCGCUUCACUACGGUGUAGGACCAAACACCUGGAAAUGAGUUCUUAUCCAUCUUCAAUUCUCAGCUCUGGGAAGGAGAAGAGACCCAAGCAGGCAAAAUGUGCAGUGACUGGGAGUUCAGAGCCUUGUCUUCCUCCUUACGGCUUCAGAUUUGGGCCCAGCUGAAACAGCUCCCCUAUACCCCAUCCUAUUUAGGCUUUCCCCCAGAAAAGCCAUCCCCAAAUGAUUUGGGGUCACUCAAGGAAAUGGAGACCUCCCCCAAAGGCCAUUCAAAGGUGCUGUGAUGGCGACUGGCAGGAUCCCGUACCCCUUUUGUUAUCACCUCCACUCCUUCCAGCCCCUCAGCCCCCGUGUUAGGAUCUGAUGCCUUAAACUAUACAAAAAUCCCCAUUUGCCCAGAUGUAAUAACUGAGAUUUUAUUUUUUUUUUUCCCAGGAGGCCCUGCAUAGUGCAAGAGUGAAUAAUCUGCAGUGCUGGUAAUUUGUAUGUAUCUGGGAUGCUGACACCCCAGGCUGCCUGCCUGAAUUUGCCUUGGUACUGAGGGGGUUUCCUUCCCAUGAGUAACGUGUUCAGCUCACCGAGCUCUCACAGUUCUCCCUGUGCAGUGCAUCAGGUCCCCUCUGAAGGAGGGGGUCUGGGUGGUGCCGACAGCACCCCACCAGGGAUGCUCACCCCCAUGUCACCCCAGACACCCUGCUGUCACAGGGGCUGGCCACAGGAUCAGCAGAGGGGUCACUGUUUUCCUCCUUCACUCCAUGCAAAGCAAUACUUGCCUUGAAAAGAAGAAAUAUGUGGCCUCAUCAGCAUUGGAGGGGCAGCUGAGAGCAUAGGGGAAGCAGCUGAGCUCCAGUGGACACUUUUGUGGCAGGGGAGGAUGCUGUUAGGGUUCCCUCCUCCUAUGGUCAGGGCUUCAGCUCCUUGCAACACAGCAAUACACACACGGAGUCAAAUUCUCACUUUAGUAAAACCCCCAGCUGUGAUGGAUGGGAUUCCCUCCCGCAUCUCCCGGUGGUUCUGCUCAUGCUGCAGAUCCAGAGAGGAGCAAUGAAGACAGCACUGCGGGACAGAAAGGCAGGGAGGAAGGGAGAGUAUUCUGAGGUCCUGCAGUCAGCACAUGAUGCUGAUAACUUUAAAUUGGAGGCAGUGGUUUAAAAAUAACUUCUGGCAGUAACAGCAAAAUGCCCAAGCCCUCUCGCCACCCUGGCAGCUGGGGCUGGUGUCUGGUGUCACCCUGAUGGGACAGCAGUGUGCCACGUGGCUGUGCUGGGCUCACACAGGGACUCAACAGCACUGGGACGAGCAACCCAGAGCUUCCUUCAGGUCAUCAUAACCACCAAGCUCCUGGGUACCGUGGUGAUCUGAGGCAGCAGUGCUGAAGGGUCAUGGCUUAAAGGCCUUUAAAAGUAUCCUCAGGGCCAUCUGGGGUACGGGUGGUGGCACAGGGGGGCGCUCCUCAAGAAACCCCUUCUGCACAAAACAGACAAGUGAUAGGGUUGAAACAGGGAAAUCACCCCUGCAGCAUCCCACGCCGUGGCUGGGUGCUUGUGGGUGUCCAAAAUUCAGGGGAAGAGGGGCUGGAAACAUCCUGGACACCCCCAGCUGGAUUAGUUGACCUGGCCAACAGCAGCUUCAGCUGCACAUCCCGUUGCAAAGGUAAAGCAGCUUGUGGGCUCUCAGCCAGAAUUCAGCCUUGGAGGGAAAACCAUCACCAAAUGCCCGAUUUCCUGCUCGCUGAGCUGAGCAGCACCCAUGGGUCACAGCGCACAUCCCCAGGUCCAUUGCAGCAGCUCCUCCCCUAAACCUGGGUUUCUUCUGAAGAUUUUUAACUCCUUCACUGCUCUUCACCUUCCCCACAAUCACUUCAGCACUGCAGCUGAAAUACAGCUCCUUCUGCUCUCUGAGAUGCUGCUGCGUUUUGGCGGCUGGGCACAACUCCGAGUUUGGAAAAGCCUGCAUUCAUCCUGAGGACAGCUCUCAUUGAACCACGGAGCAAAACCAGAGCCCACCUCCUGCUCACCUCCUAUGAAGGGCUGCUGGUGGUGCCUGGCUGACAGCAGGAACACUGGCUGCAUCCAGAGGGAGAAACGAGGACCUCAGUGAGCGCAUUCAGUGCUGUCCCAGCCUCUCUCGAAGCCCCUCUUCUAUUUAGCAAUGGAUUUGUUUCACACUCACUGAAUGAUAGCAAAAUUUUCCCUCGAUCCCAUGAAGGAGAUGCUGCUCCGGCAGUUGCCUGUGUCCCGCUGAGCACUGUGCUGGUUUCUGCCAAGAAGUUAUCCCGUUUUCCCAGGCUUUGCUGAUCAUACACCAGCGUGGGGCAAUUCCCUUCAUGCGUUUUGCUCUGUACCGACAAUUGGGAACGCAAGAGGCAAAACAAAAGCCGGGAGCAGCCCGGCAAUCCCAGCACAUCCUCACGUUAACACUGCGACCCAAACCCGAGUGGGCAGAAGGCGGAUCCGUCCCGGUAGGUGGCAGCAGCUGCCCACGCCGGUCUGGAGCUGCGCGAUGCUGAAGAUGGGGAAAAACGGGAGGAGGGGGAGCGCUCCCCAACUGGUGCCUGGUGAGAGGUCCCCAUAAAGGCCCGGCUGGAACACGGAGCCCUGAGAGCCAGGUGGAUAAAAAAGGAGAAAGGCAAGCAGAGAAUUUACUCCAAAGCAAAACGCAUGGAGAGCCACGGUUACUUGGAGACUGUAAUUAGAGGGAAAGAAAUCGAAGGGAAAAAAGGAAAUCUAUCCAAAUCUUGUUGUCCGCUUGCUUUUAAAGCGAUUGAUUCUUGAUUGAUACAAACGAAGUUUGGCUUACUCUCUUCCAUAUGCAUAGCACAGGCUUUGUGUUGGGAAAUCAGCCCGGAUUCUCACCCCACCGCCCUCCAUCCCCCCUGCCCAGCAUCAUCCCAGAGCUCCCUCAUCACCACCUGCAGAGCCCGCUUUGGUCCCAUGCACCCUCC